rnacentral:rRNA from 1 species
AAGGCGCUUGAGAGAACUCGGGUGAAGGAACUCGGCAAAAUUGUACCGUAACUUCGGGAGAAGGUACGCCUCUGUUUGUGAACACUUCGCGUGGUAAGCAAAUGGAGGCCGCAGUGACCAGGUGGCUGGGACUGUUUAUUAAAAACACAGCACUCUGCAAACUCGUAAGAGGACGUAUAGGGUGUGACACCUGCCCGGUGCCGGAAGGUUAAUUGAUGGGGUUAGUUUUCGGACGAAGCUCUUGAUCGAAGCCCCGGUAAACGGCGGCCGUAACAAUAACGGUCCUAAGGUAGCGAAAUUCCUUGUCGGGUAAGUUCCGACCUGCACGAAUGGCGUAACGAUCUGGGCACUGUCUCAACGAGAGACUCGGUGAAAUUGUAGUAGCGGUGUAGAUGCCGUUUACCCGCAGCUAGACGGAAAGACCCCGUGAACCUUUACUACAGCUUGGCACUGAACAUUGAACCUACAUGUGUAGGAUAGGUGGGAGGCUUUGAAGCACAGUCGCUAGAUUGUGUGGAGCCGUCCUUGAAAUACCACCCUUGUAUGUUUGAUGUUCUAACAUUGUUCCCUUAUCGGGAAUGUGGACAGUGUCUGGUGGGUAGUUUGACUGGGGCGGUCUCCUCCCAAAUAGUAACGGAGGAGCACGAAGGUUAGCUAAUCACGGUCGGACAUCGUGAGGUUAGUGCAAUGGCAUAAGCUAGCUUAACUGCGAGACAGACACGUCGAGCAGGUACGAAAGUAGGUCAUAGUGAUCCGGUGGUUCUGUAUGGAAGGGCCAUCGCUCAACGGAUAAAAGGUACUCCGGGGAUAACAGGCUGAUACCGCCCAAGAGUUCAUAUCGACGGCGGUGUUUGGCACCUCGAUGUCGGCUCAUCACAUCCUGGGGCUGAAGUCGGUCCCAAGGGUAUGGCUGUUCGCCAUUUAAAGUGGUACGCGAGCUGGGUUUAGAACGUCGUGAGACAGUUCGGUCCCUAUCUGCCGUGGGUGUAGGAUACUUGAGAGGAGUUGCCCCUAGUACGAGAGGACCGGGGUGAACGAUCCACUGGUGGACCUGUUGUUGCGCCAGCAGCAGUGCAGGGUAGCUAUGAUCGGACAGGAUAACCGCUGAAGGCAUCUAAGCGGGAAGCCCCCCUCAAAACAAGGUAUCCCUGAGGACCGUGGUAGACCACCACGUCGAUAGGCCGGAGAUGUAAGUGCAGCAAUGCAUUCAGU